AUUGAACGCUGGCGGCAGGCCUAACACAUGCAAGUCGAGCGGAGCGGGGGACGGGGGAGUAAGGACUAGGAAUCUGCCUGGUAGUGGGGGAUAGCGUCCGGAAACGGGCGCUAAUACAGCAUACUAUCAGAUGAGGCUGGGGGGGAUUAGCUAGUUGGUGGGGUAAGGGCUUACCAGGGCGACGAUCCGUAACUGGGCUGAGAGGAUGAUCAGUCACACGGGAACUGAGACACGGUCCCAACUCCUACGGGAGGAAGCGGUGGGGAAUAUUGGGCAAUGGGCGAAAGCCUGAUCCAGCCAUGCCGCGUGUGUGAAGAAGGUCUUCGGAUUGUAAAGCACUAUAAGUUUGGAGGCGUUACCAACAGAAUAAGCACCGGCUAACUCCGUGCCAGCAGCCGCGGUAAUUC
rnacentral:rRNA from 1 species